UACGGGGGGAGCAAGCGUUGUUCGGAUUUACUGGGCGUAAAGGGCGCGUAGGCGGCCAGCGCAAGUCAGUUGUGAAAUCUCCGGGCUUAACUCGGAAAGGUCAACUGAUACUGCGCGGCUAGAGUGCAGAAGGGGCAACUGGAAUUCUCGGUGUAGCGGUGAAAUGCGUAGAUAUCGAGAGGAACACCUGCGGCGAAGGCGGGUUGCUGGGCUGAUACUGACGCUGAUGCGCGAAAGCCAGGGGAGCGAACGGG
rnacentral:rRNA from 1 species